UCGCCUGUUUAUCAAAAACAUGGUCUUUUGUUUAAAUAAAAGAUCUGGCCUGCCCAAUGACUUGUUUAAUGGCUGCAGUAUAUUGACUGUACAAAGGUAGCAUAAUCAUUUGUCUCUUAAUUGGAGUCUGGAAUGAAUGGUUGGAUGAGAAAUUUACUUUCUUUAUUUUAAAUAUAAAAUUUAAUUUUUGAAUCAAAAAGUUUAGAUUUUAUUAAAGGACGAGAAGACCCUAUAGAACUUUAUUCUCAAUUAAGUAGUUAUUUAUUUGUAAAUAAUCAUUGUUUAUUUUAACGGGAAUUGUGUUGGGGUGACAGAAAAAAAUUAAUAACUUUUUCUAUAUUUAUCAGGAAUUGUGAUUUAUUGAUCCUUUAUUAUGGAUAAUAUGACCAAGUUACCUUAGGGAUAACAGCGUUAUUGCUCUAGAGAGUCCAUAUUGAUAGAGCAGUUUGCGACCUCGAUGUUGGAUUAAAAUUAGUUUCAGGAGUAGAAAAUUGAUUGACUAGGUCUGUUCGACCUUUAAAUUUUUACAUGAUCUGAGUUCAAACCGGAGA
rnacentral:rRNA from 1 species